GAUGAACGCUAGCGGAGGCUUAACACAUGCAAGUCGAGGGGCAGCAUAGGGUAGCAAUACUCUGAUGGCGACCGGCAAACGGGUGAGUAACGCGUAUGCAACCUACCCUGUACAGGGGGAUAACCCGGAGAAAUUCGGACUAAUAUCCCGUAAUAAUAUCCGGAGGCAUCUUUGGAUAUUAAAGUUUCGACGGUACGGGAUGGGCAUGCGUAACAUUAGCUGGUUGGUAAGGUAACGGCUUACCAAGGCUAUGAUGUUUAGGGGUCCUGAGAGGGUGGUCCCCCACACUGGUACUGAGACACGGACCAGACUCCUACGGGAGGCAGCAGUGAGGAAUAUUGGUCAAUGGGCGCAAGCCUGAACCAGCCAUCCCGCGUGCAGGAAGACGGCCCUAUGGGUUGUAAACUGCUUUUCCAGGGAGAGAAACUUACGCACGUGUUGCGUGACUGACGGUACCCUGGGAAUAAGCAUCGGCUAACUCCGUG
rnacentral:rRNA from 1 species